GCCACGCUCUGUGCCUCCAAAUAAAAUCCUAGCCCAAAAAAUCCCCAACAGAUACACCUGUACCAACUCGCACCUGACUCAGAUCUCAUCUCACCGGCGGCGCCUCCAAAUCACACGCCGCCAGCCGCGCCCCGAUGCCGACGUGCCAUGUUUGCUGCCUUGUCCGACCUCCAUGCUACCUCCACCGCCACUUCAUGGAUGGCUUGUCAACCAUCGCCCCAUCCAUCUCUGGCACCUUCCCCAUCUUCGUUUCUCACCGCGUGCCUCACCAAGAUCUGGACGCUGCCUCACCACCCCUCCAUGCCCACUACUUGAGAUGUAGAUGGUGAUUUAGAAGAUUGGUUUCGUCCAGCGACCAACAAGGCGGCGGCGGCAGGAGACACCAGGUUUGGGAGAGGCGACCCAAUGAUGCAGAUAGGCUAGGGGAUGGGUUGGAAACUCUGCAAGGAACCCGGCUACAGCACCAUUAGAUCUGCUCCCCUUCAACUACUCGAGGGUAAUAUUUCGCUGGUUCCUUUUUCUUCCAUAAUUUCCUGAUGUAAGAUUUGUGAUCUGGAAUUUGACUCUUCUAACCACCUAUUUGAGAUCUCCUUUUCCUAGUUGCAGUUCAUCUAGAUCAGGAGUAAGAUCAAUGUCCUUUGCUCUUAUCAAAGGCGCAUUAAUCGACUGCUCACCGUAGGUAGCAGGACUGGGUUUGCAAUAUCAAGAUAAUCUUAUCGACCUUGCUAUGUUGUUUAUAGGCAUUGGGGGGAGUUAGCUGUGAGAUUUGAAGCACAAGACAGAGCACUUGAAGAGAUGCAAAGGAAGCAUCAACAAGAAUUGGAAGCUGUGAAGAAGAGCCAACAGAAGAAGAAUGAAGCCUGGGAAAAGAAGCAACACAUGAUACAGUUAACCUGAUUGGUUUUCUAUUGAGGGCUCAAGCAACUCAACAAGAUUCCAUUGUCUUGUGUAUUGUCGUGUCAAACUUGAUUCGGUGUUAUUUUUUAUUUUCAUUUCUAUUUAGAGGAUGAUUUGCCUAAGAGAUUGAAUAUAUAAUAUGAUUUGUCUUUUGGUUCAUAAUGUGAUUUGGCUCACAAUUUAUUUAUAUAAUGUGAUGUGAUGUGAAUUAAA